rnacentral:rRNA from 1 species
AUUUGAAGCAACCCGAAAAACCUUUCCAAAUCCUGACAUCCUUUGAAAACUCCAGAGGAUAGGGCCUUUCCUUCGGGGGACAAAGUGACAGUUGGUGCAUGGUUGUCGUCAGCUCGUGUCGUGAGAUGUUGGGUUAAGUCCCGCAACGAGCGCAACCCUUAAGCUUAGUUGCCAUCAUUAAGUUGGGCACUCUAGGUUGACUGCCGGUGACAAACCGGAGGAAGGUGGGGAUGACGUCAAAUCAUCAUGCCCCUUAUGAUUUGGGCUACACACGUGCUCCCCAUGGACAAUACAAAGGGCAGCUAAACCGCGAGGUCAUGCAAAUCCCAUAAAGUUGUUCUCAGUUCGGAUUGUAGUCUGCAACUCGACUACAUGAAGCUGGAAUCGCUAGUAAUCGUAGAUCAGCAUGCUACGGUGAAUACGUUUCCGGCCUUUACACACCGCCCCUCACAC